GAUCCUGGCUCAGAUUGAACGCUGGCGGCAGGCCUAACACAUGCAAGUCGAACGGUAACAGGAAUCAGCUUGCUGAUUUGCUGACGAGUGGCGGACGGGUGAGUAAUGUCUGGGAAACUGCCUGAUGGAGGGGGAUAACUACUGGAAACGGUAGCUAAUACCGCAUAACGUCGCAAGACCAAAGAGGGGGGACCUUCGGGCCUCUUGCCAUCGGAGUGUGCCCAGAUGGGAUUAG
rnacentral:rRNA from 1 species